rnacentral:lncRNA from 1 species
AUUUUGAACAUGACAUUAUUUUAUCACUUACCCUGAGUUACAUGCCAAUGGUUAUCCCACUGAUCGUCCUAGAAUGCUACACUGUUUCAUGAAGUAGGGAUCGAAGAAUUUUCUAUUGCUCUAGUGCAACAUUAGAUGAUGUGGUGCAUUCUUGAGUUGGUGUGAAGCGGUGAGCUUCCAUCCUUAGGAAGGUCUUAUUAUUUUAUUGUCUAUUCUUUAUAGUCUUAGUACUUUUGGAUUCUUAUGCUCCUAGUUGGGGGCAUGUCCCAACUUAUUUGGUAUUUUCAGCUUUAAAGUUUUUCGUGGAC